AAAUUAGGGGUGCAGCAUGGAUUGUGCUGCUGAGAUUAUACCCGUAGAACCUGAAGCGGAUAAUGCCGCCGUAGGAAAUAU
rnacentral:ncRNA from 2 species